rnacentral:rRNA from 1 species
CCUACGGGCGGCAGCAGUGGGGAAUAUUGGACAAUGGGGGGAACCCUGAUCCAGCCAUGCCGCGUGUGUGAAGAAGGCCCUCGGGUUGUAAAGCACUUUCAGUGAGGAAGAACGCCUGGUGGUUAAUACCCAUCAGGAAAGACAUCACUCACAGAAGAAGCACCGGCUAACUCCGUGCCAGCAGCCGCGGUAAUACGGAAGGUGCGAGCGUUAAUCGGAAUUACUGGGCGUAAAGCGCGCGUAGGUGGCUUGAUAAGCCGGUUGUGAAAGCCCCGGGCUCAACCUGGGAACGGCAUCCGGAACUGUCAAGCUAGAGUGCAGGAGAGGAAGGUAGAAUUCCCGGUGUAGCGGUGAAAUGCGUAGAGAUCGGGAGGAAUACCAGUGGCGAAGGCGGCCUUCUGGACUGACACUGACACUGAGGUGCGAAAGCGUGGGUAGCAAACAGGAUUAGAUACCCUUGUAGUC